CGAUAAACGCUUAACAGACAUACAGGUAAAUAGUUAAAACAAAAUACAUAUUUACGUUAAUGAAUGGUAUAUUAUAUAUUUCUAUUACAGUUUGAUGAGGCAGCAAUUUCUAGGUACCCUAGGUGGCGUAUUAGUGACAAACACGAAGAAGUAAAUGAAUUUGGUAUUUAUAAAUACAAUGAUCCGAUAUGGUUGAUGAACGAGUCGAGGUUUCAAGCCGAUAUUCCAAUGGCAUUUGCCAACAAUUAUUGCAAUGAUAAACGACGAAUAAGAUUUUUAAUAAAUGAAAACGUCAAAUGUAUUGUAAAGCUGCAAGAUCUUCAUAUGUUUCAAGCGUUAAAGGCCACAAAUAGUAGCGUCUUAAGUAUGGGGGAAAUCAUUAACACCACGAAGAGCGAGACUUCAUACAAAUUGGACUUUGGUGAUAUGCGAUGACAAUCAAUGCCGUGCAUAUAACAAAACUGGCGAUGAACCUCAUUGUAACGAUAUUUACUGCGAGAACAUCGCUACUACUGUGCAAUAUAAUUUCUAUUAUUACAAUUCAAGAAUCACAAAAGCCGUAUUAAAACUAUACGUCCAGACAGUGUCCAUGCGUAUUCCUUUUAUAACACAGACUAUUCAAGUAAAAUUCUAUUUAAGCAACGAUUCAACAGAAAAUGUCAUCAAAUUAAGCGGAAAUCCGGGAUACAAUUGGGGUCUACCAAUCAUAAUAUCGAGUGCCGAGAGUAACCAUACAAUGCAUUUCUUCAAUAAAACUAAUGAGAAAAAAAUUCUGACGUAUCCUGAUAACAGAAACGGGAAAUGUGUAUCAUCAAAUGUUAGAUACAAAAUAGUCCAAUUUGGACACAAUAGAAGAAGCAAAUGUAGAUACCACAUACAACAGAUCGACUUAAAAAAUGGGACGACCGCUUGUCAAUUGAUACAAAAUCAAAUAUUAAAUUUACUGGGACUAAAUUCUACACUCUAUAUAUCGCCGUUUGGUAAUCCAGAACGCUUAGGCGACGAGCGAUGGCUACGAAUGCAAAUAGUUAGAACCUACAUAUACGGGGUGUUCAAAAAUAACGCAUUGACGUGCAAAAACAUUAUAGCGAGAAUCGGAUAUGUUUUGGCGUAUGAAAGUGAACAACUUGUGUAUGUAAAGGUCGAAGGCACAGCACAAAACAUAACAUUCGAUGUAGAGGACAUUUCGACAGUGGUCACCAUAGACAUGAUCUUUUUAGAGCUGAGAAAAUCUUUAGAAUUCGCCGGCGCACCGCACCUAAACAUAAAUCUGCCGAAAAAUUUCUUCUAAUAAUAUUCGCUUUGACAAUAAAAUAAACGUUUUGUAUUAA